CCCCUAUUCUAUUUCUGUGCCCAUCUCCCAUCUCAACAUCCUCAUUUCCAGCCUUUCUGCCCAGGAAAUUGGAUCGAAGCUAAGUUCCAUCACAAUGUCUGUCAAAACCAUGGUGUUUCUGGCCACUAUGGUCUUUGCCAUCAUGGCAGCUGCUGCAAGUAAGUGUUUGUAAAGCUCUGUUUUCUUCAUCUCUGGCACUUUAUAUGUGUUACUCUCAUCCCCCCUAGUACCACCACCACAUCGUGGUUAAAGGACCACUAUGUAAAUCAAUGAAUUGCUGACAUUUGGAGUGGUCGUAGACCUCCCUCGUGAGGCUGCUGAGAAAGCUGUCGUUGACGUCGCUCGUGGGUUGGGCAACCAGGGUUUCCUUGGCAAGAUUGUUGCCCGUCAGA
rnacentral:sRNA from 2 species